CCUGGGCAAUCGGUGUUCCUGGCCCCCGAAGUGCCGUCAGACACCGCCUGUGCCCCGGGGCUCAGGAGAUGUUAGGAAGGGGGUUGGUUCAGCGGCCACUGCAAGCCUGAUGGCACUUGCUACGAUUAUGGCAGGGGUGGCCGUCCUGGAGCACGCGUGCUACAAACGGCACCGGCACGGGCAGCCUCUGUGCGUGGCACAUGGCAGAGCGGGGAGGGAACCAGGAAUACAGUGACAGAUAGGGCAAGGAGCAGUAAGCAGAGCAGAAGAUCGAAUGGGAAGUGCAGGGUAGGGGGCAGAAAGCAAAGCAGCAGAUCAGCAAGGGAG